ACUGCUGGAUGCCCAUGUGUAGGACCCUUUUAUAUACCAGGGGAGGAGUCUGAGGUGGCGUCUGAGCAUGUGCGAGGCCCAUUUCAUGCUGGAGGCUGUCUGGAGGGGAGCUCAUGGCUGCAGUUCUCAGGCCUAGGCCUAGGCCUGCUGGUGGAGCCCUUGACUCACCCCCUGGUGGGUCUGGAUGCAUCGUGGGACCCUGGAAGUCGCUGCUGGGCUGUGUAGUCCCCAGCGAAGAAUGGCUGGAGGCUCGGGAUCGAAACGGUCGUAAGUCGAGGACUUUCGAGGAUCGGUGGCGCGGCGGCAGCGGCGGUGGCAAUGGCUGGUCCUGAUCCGGAUGUGCUGGCCCCUGGUCAGUUGGAGAAGCCUGGCAGAGGUCGCAGAGCAGGCACACAUCUGGAACUGCUGGAUGCCCACGUGUAGGACCCUUUUAUAUACCAGGGGAGGAGUCUGAGGUAAGGGGG